rnacentral:lncRNA from 1 species
GCUGUCAUCCUAAAGUGGUGAUUUUCAAUCUGUGUUCCUGAAAACUGGAGAACUCAGCAGAAGCACCUCCAGGUAGUUGAGGAGGAGCAUACAUAGCACCAAGAAUACUCUAAGGAAGUCCCUUCAAUGUUUCCAGCAAAAGUCAAAAUAGAGGAUGACUUCUGGAAUGCCAGUGGAGUGAGGAUUUUGCCAGGACUACUCCCCCUAAAAACCAAACAUUAUAAGCAUGCAACAAUUUAAUGUCUCUUCAAAUUUCCCUAAGGAAGGGCAUACAGCAAAUGAAGAAAUAUACUAAAUAUUGGCCUACAACAUAUGCCAAUGUAAAGUGUCUUAAAAUAACAGAACAAAGGAGGGGAUGGAAGAGAAGCUGUAUUGGAAAAAAGGAAAUAAUACCAGAUGGUAACUUGAAUCAACAGGAACAAAGAAAGAGACCAGAAAUGUUGUAAGUAAGAAAGGUAAUAUAACACCCUCUAUAAAUAUAUUGUUGCUGUCCUUUAUUCUAGCAGCUUCUUUAAAAUACAUAAAAUUAUACAAAGUAAUAAUUAUAACAAUGUAUUCUUGGUCUUGUAACAUAUAACUAGAAUAUGUAUAACAAUAAUACCACAAAUAAGAGAAGCAGGACUAGAAAUAUAUAGGAGUAAUGUUUCAAUAUCUCACUGGACUUAAGUUAGUGUAAAUCUAAAGUACAAUUGACCCUUGAACAAACAACACAGGUUUGAACUGCACAGGUCAACUUAUAUGUGGAUUUUCCUACACCUCUGCUUCCUCCACUUCCAACCUGAAGACAACAAGAAUGAAGACCUUUAUGAUGAUCCACUCAAUGAAUAGCAAAUACAUUUUCUCUUCCUU